CAAGCUCUCGGCCAGCUGUGACGAUCUGUCGAACACGACCACGGCGAAGGAGAAAUCAGGAGGUCUGUCUGGGAUGUUCAGAAGGUCUCCCAAACCAGCUCCACGCUCAGCUGCUGAAAAGGACCCUCUCAGUGCGGCGCUGGAACUGUCCGCCAGCCGCGACAGCCUCACCGAGAACCCCGCAGCCGAGGAGAGUCUGUCUGCGCAGCGUGACUUGUCAGCCAGCAACGACAGUCUGAAUGAAGCUACAACCACCACAAAAG